rnacentral:rRNA from 1 species
GGGGAAUUUUGGACAAUGGGCGAAAGCCUGAUCCAGCAAUGCCGCGUGUGUGAAGAAGGCCUUCGGGUUGUAAAGCACUUUUGUCCGGAAAGAAAUCCUCUGGGUUAAUACCUCGGGGGGAUGACGGUACCGGAAGAAUAAGCACCGGCUAACUACGUGCCAGCAGCCGCGGUAAUACGUAGGGUGCAAGCGUUAAUCGGAAUUACUGGGCGUAAAGCGUGCGCAGGCGGUUUUGUAAGACGGAUGUGGAAUCCCCGGGCUUAACCUGGGAACUGCAUUCGUGACUGCAAGGCUAGAGUAUGGCAGAGGGGGGUAGAAUUCCACGUGUAGCAGUGAAAUGCGUAGAGAUGUGGAGGAAUACCGAUGGCGAAGGCAGCCCCCUGGGCCAAUACUGACGCUCAUGCACGAAAGCGUGGGGAGCAAACA